GACGAACGCUGGCGGCGUGCUUAACACAUGCAAGUCGAGCGGUAAGGCUCCUUCGGGGGUACACGAGCGGCGAACGGGUGAGUAACACGUGAGUAAUCUGCCCUUCACUUCGGGAUAACCAUCGGAAACGGUGGCUAAUACCGGAUAUGACUCGUCCCUGCAUGGGGGUGGGUGGAAAGUUUUUUCGGUGGAGGAUGUGCUCGCGGCCUAUCAGCUUGUUGGUGAGGUAACGGCUCACCAAGGCUUUGACGGGUAGCCGGCCUGAGAGGGUGACCGGCCACACUGGGACUGAGACACGGCCCAGACUCCUACGGGAGGCAGCAGUGGGGAAGAUUGGACAAUGGGCGGAAGCCUGAUCCAGCAACGCCGCGUGAGGGAUGACGGCCUUCGGGUUGUAAACCUCUUUCAGCUCCGACGAAGCGCCCGUGAGGGUGGUGACGGUAGGUGCAGAAGAAGGACCGGCCAACUACGUGCCAGCCGCCGCGGUAAUAC
rnacentral:rRNA from 1 species